rnacentral:precursor_RNA from 1 species
CGCGCGCCCCGCCCCCGCGUCUCCAGGGCAACCGUGGCUUUCGAUUGUUACUGUGGGAACUGGAGGUAACAGUCUACAGCCAUGGUCGCCCCGCAGCACGCCCACGCGCCGCGCCACG